UACGGAGGGUGCGAGCGUUGUCCGGAAUCAUUGGGCGUAAAGGGCGCGUAGGUGGCCUGCUAAGCGUGCGGUGAAAGUCGGGGGGCUCAACCCCCGAUCGGCCGUGCGAACUGGGAGGCUGAGCACUGUAGAGGCAGGCGGAAUUCCGGGUGUAGCGGUGGAAUGCGUAGAGAUCCGGAAGAACACCGGUGGCGAAGGCGGCCUGCUGGGCAGUAACUGACGCUGAGGAGCGAAAGCGUGGGGAGCGAACAGG
rnacentral:rRNA from 1 species